rnacentral:rRNA from 1 species
UAAUAAUUUAUAUAAAAUAUUUUGAUGAAUAUUUAUAUAAUAUUAACAUAAUUCAUAUUACUAUUUUUUUUUUUAGUAUAUGAAAUUUUACUUUGAGAAAAUUAGAGUGCUUAAAGCAGGCAUAUGCCUUGAAUACUCCAGCAUGGAAUAAUAUUAAAGAUUUUUAUCUUUUUUAUUGGUUCUAAGAUAAGAAUAAUGAUUAAUAGGGACAGUUGGGGGCAUUUGUAUUUAACAGUCAGAGGUGAAAUUCUUAGAUUUGUUAAAGACAAACUAAUGCGAAAGCAUUUGCCAAGGAUGUUUUCAUUAAUCAAGAACGAAAGUUAGGGGAUCGAAGACGAUCAGAUACCGUCGUAGUCUUAACCAUAAACUAUGCCAACUAGAGAUUGGAGGUUGUUCCUUACUCCUU